rnacentral:rRNA from 1 species
AUGUAUAAGUACAAGAUGAAUGGAAACGAGAUGUUAAAAAAGGAAAGAAAAAAGGAUGACCAGGCAUGUUUUCCCUAUCUAUAUAUGGGUAUGUCGAAGAGAAAACCCAGUCAGCGCCGCAGCUUGGUGUGGCGCAGCAAAGCACUAUAUCAACAGCGGGUAUCCGAGAUAACCGAAAAACUUGUCAAACCCUUGUUCUUCUCACCGGUCCGAGUCAGCUUGAGCACCAAUCUGCAUGCCCAAAACUUGAAUCCCCUUAGCACUGUCCCAUCAGCCAUCAAACUCUUUACCCUCAUGAUCCAAAGCGGCUUUGCUUGUGCAUCAAGAUUAUGA